UUUAGAACUCGAGAUAUGGGCUGAACACUGAACAGUGUCUGGGCUGCAGGACAGAUUCUGACUUCUCCAUUGUUGCUACCAUUUGAACCCGAAAAUGACACUUUUAAAUUUGGACUCUUCAUGAACGUUUUAGGCCUAUGUCAUAUCUUUCCAUA
rnacentral:pre_miRNA from 1 species